rnacentral:lncRNA from 1 species
CAAAAAUCCAUAUCAUAAAGAAACUCCAAAUUGGAACACAUACGUGACAUUUAUAGUUUGAGAUUUUUUGUUAUAUGAAAAUUGGUUUGGGGUAAAUGUGGUAUGAGCAUACCAUUCUUCAUUAUUUUGUGAUAUAUGUGCAGAAUAUUUGUUAUUUUAAAAGAAAAAAAAAUUUAUUGUUUUUCAACAUGUCUCAAAAACUGGCCCCUCACAAGUAAUACAUCGAUCUCUUGCAGAGGUGGCAAAAUGAAUUUCAAAUCAUUUUUAAUGGCUUGGGAGAGGUUGGGUUGCCUAAAAUUUGGCAUAUAGGUAGGAGUGAGUUUAAUCAACCAAAAAUCAUUUACUUACGGGUUGUAGUGGGUCCGGAAAGAAAGCCACUUUCUAGACUGUCGCGACCUCUUUUUUCUAGGCGCCCGCAAUCGGGUACGAGCGCCUAAGGAGGCUAAUGGCUCGGCUGAAUUUAUUAAGCCCGGACUCUCCCAAGUCCACCAAUUCACGACUUUAAUAAUUUGAGUUUUAAACCUAUAAAUCAAUUUUUAAAAUGGAGUCGCCACUAAUCGAUUUGGGGUGGGUUGAUUAGAAACCCAAGUGAAGUAUCGGGAGAAAUACUCACUCCUGCGCAACCAGAGAAAUUAGGAUCGGGGACUUGAUUACACUAGUUAAUUACUAAUGCCCUUUCGGUACCUAAUCUUGUUUAAACCCUAAGGCUUUUUGGAUGUUUGAGAGAUUUUCCAUGCAUUUUUGGGAGGAAAAACAUUUUUUGAGUAUUUUUCUCAUUUUUUGGACACAAAAGGGAUUUUUUUGGGAUUUUUGGAAAAAUAUAAGUCUUUUUGGCUUUUUUUUGAAUUUUUUUUGGCUUUUUCAUGAAUUUUUGGCUUUUUUUGGAAAAUAUGAAAUAUUUUUGAUUUUUUUUUUUAUUUUUCGGAAAAUAAAUAUUUUUUAAAUAUUUUUAAUAUUUUUGGAAAAUAAAUUAUUUUUUGAUUUUUCUCGAUUUUUUAGAAAAUAAAACAUUUUUCAACAAUUUUUAAUAUUUUUCGAUUUUCUGGAAAUUAAAACAUUUUUUUAAUAUUUUUUCGAAAAUAAAAUACUUUUGAUUUUUUUUUUUGAAAAUAGAAUAUUUAUUAUUUUAUAUUAAAAUAAUAAAAUAAAACCGACCCGGGUCGGAUCCGCGGGUUGGGUCCGACCCGGGCCGGUGACCCAAUCGCGGACGGGCCCGCAACGCGGGCCCGACUCGGAUUUUUCGGCUUUUUCUUUUCUUUUUCUUUUUUUUUUUUUAAUCAAAAACGACGCCGUGGCCGGGCGUUUAGAGACGCCCGGCCCGGCCCGAAGACCCGACUCCACAACCCGCUCCCCGGUGGAACCCUACCCGGAUUCGACCCGAACCCCGACCCAGCUUCCGCCGCCCCUUAAAUCGCGGAAUCCCUACCCGGAUCCGCUUCGCGACCCGGAAAUCGCAAACCCUAGGGUUUGCGAAUUCGCGGCGCCGAAAGGGGGGAAACGGGAGCAUUCCGGCGGCGACGGCGGCUACGGUGGCUACGGCGACGACAGUGAAUGGCAAAUGCGACGGCCAUCAGAGCUUUGGAUGGACGGCGUAGACAGGGCUCCGUCGUCACCUGCUCUCGGCUUUGGCUCGGCACGGUGGCACUGCUCGCGGCGACGACGGUGACUUAGAUCUGGACGGCGUCGAGAUGGUGUUUGGGGCGGCGUUGGAGCUGAAUCGACGGCGGAUCUAAGCCUCGACCGUCUCUUGCGCUUGGAUUCUCCUCUCUCUGCAGGCUCGCUUGCCCGCGGCCUCCCCCGAUGUCUCUCGGUGGGAGGCCGUUUAAGCUCACGACCUGCUCCGGCGGGCCUCAGAUCUUCGGCCGCGCGUCCUCGGACCCCCCUGAAGUCUCUCAGUGGGGAACCCGAAGUCUGCAGCCUUAGAUCCGACUCCCUCUCUCUCUCUGUUCGUCUCUCCGGCAAAACCUCUCUUUCUCCGGCCGCGAGCCUUCGGAUCUGGGCUUGCUCGACCUCGGCUCCCCUUCUGAAGUCUCUCAGCAGGAAGCUCGAAGCUUUGCAGCCUUCGAUCGCUCUCGGCGUGCCCUUCGCUGUCGGAAACGGGGGCCUAUUUAUAGGCGAGGGGGUAACCGGUCGACGGAGCUUCGACCACCGGUCCCCGCGCGCCAAGCGGUCCCCGCCGGCCGAACCGGCGUCCCAUCCGACGCCAGCUGCCCCUCCCACGUUCUUAUCCGAUGCCAACCGCCCUCUACUCCAUGUGCGUCAUUGCUGCUCCUCCCCUCCGCUCCGGCGUCGCGCCCUCUGCGCGUGCGCUGCAACUGCGCGAGGAAGAAGAAGACCCGGCUGGGCUGGGCUGACACGGAAAUGGGCUUCGCGGGCCCAUGCGAGGGCUUUCCUGCUUUCUUUUUGCUUUUGUUUUGUUUUUGAUUUUUGUUUUGCUUUCAUUUGUUUAUUAUUC